AUAAAUUUUUAUGGUUUAGGUAAUUUAUUUUGAAUUUAUUUUACAUAUAAAUUUUAGUGGGUAUUUUAUUUUAUUUUAAUAAUAAAAUAUUAUUAUUAGUAGUAAUUAAUAUUAAAAAUUUAAGAAAUUAAGAUUUAGUAAUAUAAAAAUUAAAAACUAAUUUUGUGCCAGCAGUUGCGGUUAAACAAAAUUUAAAAUAAAUUUUUUUAGUUAUUAAUUUAUAAUAAAAUAAAAUUAAUUAAAAAUUUAAAUUAUUAGGUGAAAUUUUAAUUUAAUAAAAAAUUAAAUUUUUAUUUAUGAUAAUUAAUAAAUUUUUUUUAAAAACUAGGAUUAGAUACCCUAUUAUGAAAAAUUUAAAUUUAAAAUACUAAAAUAGUAAUUAAUUUUUUAUUGAAACUUAAAUAAAUUGGCGGUAUUUUAGUUCAUUUAGAGGAAUCUGUUUAAUAAUUGAUAUUCCACGAAUAAAUUUACUUAAUUUAAUAAUUUGUAUAUCGUUGUUAAAAAAAUAUUUUGAAAUAAUAAUAAUAUUUAAAAAUUUAAAUUUAAAAUUAAAUCAGAUCAAGAUGCAGUUUAUAAUUAAGAAUAUAAUGGAUUACAAUAAAUUUAUUUAAAUGAAUAUGAAUUUGUAAGAAUUUAUUGAAGGUGGAUUUAAAAGUAAUUUUAUUUAAUUUUUUAAAAUGAUUAAAAAUUAAAAUAUGUACAUAUUGCCCGUCACUUUCAUAUAUAAGUUGAAAUAAGUCGUAACAAAGUAGGGGUACUGGAAAGUGUUUCUAGAAUGUU
rnacentral:ncRNA from 1 species